GAUAAAAUGGCUGAAUUUUAGGCGAUAAAUUGUAAAUUUAUUAAUGAAAUUGAAUUUUCUUUUAUUA
rnacentral:tRNA from 1 species